GGAAUGGGGAUGAGGGGAUGACACUGUGGGGAGGAGCUAAAGCUGGAAGAAGAUGGGUUGUCUUUUUUUUUCGGGGAGGGGGACUUGCACUCUCUCUCUCUCUCUCAAUCACAAGUAGAUAUUACACGUAGGAAAAUAAAACAGACUGGAUGAUGUCAAACCCUGACCUUCCUUCAGUGAUAAGGGGCUCAUAGACCCCACCUCAGUACGCCAUCAACCUGAGCCCUGCAGUCCUGGCCUCACAUUGGCAGCCUCUGCCUUAGCUGCAUGCAAGGGGAGGCAUGCCACAGGGCCUUGGCACAUGCUGCUCCCAAUGUGAUUCAACUCCUCCCACUUCUCUCCAAUCUCUUCCCACCCUUCACAGGGUGAAACUCGAUUCCUGGACAAGCUGGCAGAGCAAGGUCACUUAGCACCAACAACACCUCGUCCCUCUGCACUCCGGGUAUGACAGACAGGAACUACCCUGAGGUUCCCUCCACCCAGACCCUCGCAUGUGCCAGGCACAGGCUUCUCGGUCAUAAAGAGGGGACGCCUUAGGGAGAUGGGUGAGACCAUGGGAGCUGGUGCACAGGGCUGUAAACCGCAGGGUCAGCUGCUCUCCCUCUGAUGUGGAUGGCACCCUCUGACCUGCCUCAGACCUCAGCAGGAAGUCCCCUCCAGAUCCACAGAGGCCACCACAGGCAUGCACAUCUCACCACCAGGGUGCGCAAGGGAGCCCCCAUCUCAGCACAAGCUUCAGGGUUCAAGGAUGAAGAGCUCCCUGGCUGUGCAAACAACCGUCAUUCAUGGCCUCAGACACCACUUACCCCUGAGCCUGUGUGAGACCAGACCUAGAAGGCUGCGUGCGACCCCAGGUCUCCAGGGACCUGGAAGGCUCUGACCCCAGGUCUCCAGGGGAGUCUCAGGAACAACGAAAGGAGAGCUUGAUCAUUGGAGAGAUUUACAAAGGACUGACAGGUAUGCUAAAAAGAUGAAUGGUUGACAACUGGUAGACAUUGACCAGGAUACUAGAUUCAGUUAAGAACCUGUCAGUAUGUAGCAGGGGCUAGCCUUGGCAAACUGACAGUUUAAACACUUAUCCUCGAAUGUGGCGGUGUGUUCCAAAGCAGUGGAAAGAUGACUUGAGGAGGGCUGUGUUCUCCUCAGACAGGCUGUAGUUGAAACUCCUGUUUCAAAUAGUUAAUUGACAUAGAGAACGGCUAACCCCACCCCGUCCCCCCAUUUUGCAGACAGGAAUGCUGAAGCUCAGAGACUGGAGCUCAGAGAGGUGAAGUGAGUCACCCAAGGUCUCACAGCUUUUCUGUGGCAGAGCUGGGGCCAAGUUCGUGUUCACCGAGUGUUUCCUGGGUGUGACACACCCAACCCCCCCCCCCCAAGUGAGCCUGGGAAGAAAGGUUCUGGCUGGGCUGGUGGGCAGUUCUGUGAGGGGCGGCCCGAGAUGACCCUCGCGAGGAGGACGGAGAGGACACUUGUUCCAGAUUUGCUCAGCCAGAGAGCCAACGUGCACACACAGCUGGUGGCCUCAGCUUCCCAGCCAAGUUCAUCCUGACAUAAGACAACUCACAAGUGUGCUCCGUGGGGACCGACUGUUACCACGGUGCCAUUCAGCACGGUUUACGAUUUUCCUGGAGCCUCUCGGCCGCCGAUGCCAGAGCUCAAGCCAGAAAAAGAACAUUCCUGGGUGACGCAAAUGCAGCCGGGGCCGCUACAGGGGCAUGCCCUUUUCCUGCCCCGGGAAGGGCGGGGUGCGGGGACCAGAGCCAUCCGCCAUCCAAAUACAGAAAGAGAUGAGUGGACCGGGUGUCUCAGCUGCCCCAGGAGGUCCCAAAGCCCCCAAGUGCCGGUGACUUCAUCAACUCCAUGGCCACGCAGGAGGGGGUGCAGGCGCAGUCUCGCGAGUGAGACCCCCUCGGGGCACAGGACAGCCAGGACACUCGCUGCCUUAUUUUAUUUCCAGAUAAAGUUAUUUUUGUGGAGCUGAGCCUGCCAGCGAAGGAGGAGAUAAGAUCGGGGUGCCUUUCCCUGCCAGAUGGCUGCGGGGAUGCUAGCAGUGGGGCUGAAGGGACAGGGCAGCCCUGAAUCCAGGCAGCGAUGUGGUCCUGGCCAGAGGGAAAACCCAGAGAACCAGGAGACCCAGAGAGAGGGGACCGCGUGUCCCAAGCUGCAGGCGCUGUUUGGAUUUGACCACACAAGCUUCGGGGCCCUGAAGCCAUCGAAACAGAAAAGCGAGACUGUCUUUUUCAACUUUUCAUGAGGAAAUUUCUUCUUGUUGUUUUUAUAGCUUGUUUGUUUGUUUGUUUGUUUGUUUGUUUGGAGGGACUUGUGGGUAACAGCAUGAACAUGUCAUGGCACAUGUAUGCAAGUCAGAGGACAAACAUGGAAUCUGUUUUCUCCUUUUACCAGGGCUUAGGAAUUGAACAGGUCGGUGGUCAGGCUUUGGGGCAAGCUGAGCCCACUUGCUGGCAAAGUUACCCCCACCAAAGAAGAGGUCCUGUCCUCUCGCUCAGCACAGAGGUGAAUGUGGCAGCCUGUGUCCAGCAAGCUGGUGGUUGAGUUUGGUCCCUAGGACCCACAUAUCAGUGGAGGGAGAAGAUUAACCCUCACCCCCCAAGGGGGACUGUCUUCUGCCCUCCGUGUGUGCAACUGCGCUGUGCAUAUUGUAUUUGAUGUAAUAAUCUGUACAUUAAAGAAUAAGGCUGAUUCCCUCCCCCUCCCUAGUCUCUU